rnacentral:rRNA from 1 species
UACGUAGGGUGCGAGCGUUGUCCGGAAUUAUUGGGCGUAAAGGGCUCGUAGGCGGUUUGUCGCGUCGGGAGUGAAAACCUCGGGCUUAACUCGGGGCUUGCUUUCGAUACGGGCAGACUGGAGGUAUGCAGGGGAGAACGGAAUUCCUGGUGUAGCGGUGAAAUGCGCAGAUAUCAGGAAGAACACCGGUGGCGAAGGCGGGUCUCUGGGCCGAUACUGACGCUGAGGAGCGAAAGCGUGGGGAGCGAACAGG